GAUAAACGCUGGCGGCGUGCACGAGACAUGCAAGUCAUACGGACGAGCUUGCUCGUCAGUGGCGAACGGCUGAGUAACGCGUAGGUGACCUGCCCCGAAGUGGGGGAUAACUGCCCGAAAGGGUGGCUAAUACCGCAUGUGGCGACGUGUUCAUUCACGUCAUCAAAGCCGCGAGGCGCUUCGGGAGGGGCCUGCGUCCGAUUAGCUCGUUGGUGGGGUAACGGCUCACCAAGGCGACGAUCGGUAGGUGGUCUGAGAGGACGAUCACCCAGACUGGGACUGAGACACGGCCCAGACUCCUACGGGAGGCAGCAGUCGGGAAUUUUGCUCAAUGGGGGAAACCCUGAAGCAGCAACGCCGCGUGCGGGAUGAAGGCCUUCGGGUUGUAAACCGCUUUUACCAGGGACGAUAAUGACGGUACCUGGUGAAUAAGUCACGGCUAACUACGUGCCAGCAGCCGCGGUAACAC
rnacentral:rRNA from 1 species